rnacentral:rRNA from 1 species
AUUGAACGCUGGCGGCAUGCUUUACACAUGCAAGUCGAACGGUAACAGGCCGCAAGGUGCUGACGAGUGGCGAACGGGUGAGUAAUGCAUCGGAACGUGCCCAGUCGUGGGGGAUAACGCAGCGAAAGCUGCGCUAAUACCGCAUACGACCUAUGGAUGAAAGCGGGGGACCGUAAGGCCUCGCGCGAUUGGAGCAGCCGAUGUCAGAUUGGUAGUUGGUGGGGUAAAGGCUCACCAAGCCAACGAUCUGUAGCUGGUCUGAGAGGACGACCAGCAACACUGGGACUGAGACACGGCCCAGACUCCUACGGGAGGCAGCAGUGGGGAAUUUUGGACAAUGGGCGCAAGCCUGAUCCAGCAAUGCCGCGUGCAGGAAGAAGGCCUUCGGGUUGUAAACUGCUUUUGUACGGAACGAGACGGUCCUGGUUAAUACCUGGGGCUAAUGACGGUACCGUAAGAAUAAGCACCGGCUAACUACGUGCCAGCCGCCGCGGUAAUAC